AGCACUUUCAGCGAGGAAGAACGCCUGUCGGUUAAUACCCGGCAGGAAAGACAUCACUCGCAGAAGAAGCACCGGCUAACUCCGUGCCAGCAGCCGCGGUAAUACGGAGGGUGCAAGCGUUAAUCGGAAUUACUGGGCGUAAAGCGCGCGUAGGUGGCUUGAUAAGCCGGUUGUGAAAGCCCCGGGCUCAACCUGGGAACGGCAUCCGGAACUAUUAGGCUAGAGUGCAGGAGAGGAAGGUAGAAUUCCCGGUGUAGCGGUGAAAUGCGUAGAGAUCGGGAGGAAUACCAGUGGCGAAGGCGGCCUUCUGGACUGACACUGACACUGAGGUGCGAAAGCGUGGGUAGCAAACAGGAUUAGAUACCCUGGUAGUCCACGCCGUAAACGAUGUCGACCAGCCGUUGGGUGCCUAGCGCACUUUGUGGCGAAGUUAACGCGAUAAGUCGACCGCCUGGGGAGUACGGCCGCAAGGUUAAAACUC
rnacentral:rRNA from 1 species